rnacentral:rRNA from 1 species
UCCGUAGGGGGCAAGCGUUGUUCGGAAUUAUUGGGCGUAAAGGGCGCGUAGGCGGCGAUUCAAGUGGCGGGGUAAAUCCCUCGGCUUAACCGAGGAACUGCCUGCCAGACUGGAUUGCUUGAGGCCGGGAGAGGUGAGUGGAAUUCCCAGUGUAGCGGUGAAAUGCGUAGAUAUUGGGAGGAACACCAGUGGCGAAGGCGGCUCACUGGACCGGAACUGACGCUGAGGCGCGAAAGCGUGGGGAGCAAACAGG